AUCCAGCUGACGAGUCCCAAAUAGAACUAAACGCGCGUCCUGGAU
rfam:Schistosoma mattheei strain Denwood, Zambia genome assembly, scaffold: SMTD_contig0009484